GAAUGAAACUGCUAAAAAUAUUCUUCUGCAUAUCUUUUGGUGGACAAAUAUGUGAAUUUCUCUUGGUAGAAUUCUUUAUUGCAUACAUGGACAACUUGCAGAAAUACAAGAACCACUGUGGAGGACGCCAAGCAGACAACCUCCGAGCAAGAUGAUUUGCAGCUGUGGGGUGGACCCUCGGAUGAUUUGUCCACAGGUGCUCCUUGCAAAGAAAGGGCCCAAGCCCAUGGCAAUCCUUAGGCACGUGGUCAUUGUUUAAUGCUCCCCUCACCUGUCUUGUACUGUCUCAAUAAAAGGCUACUACAGAGGUUGCUCGGGGCUACCCUGCAAGCAAAGUUAGCCCGCCUCCUGCAAGCUUAGACUUCUAAUCCGAGUCACUCCUGGUUCCUUCCUGUGGUGAUCGAGACCAGGGCCACAGGGACUGCGACAAACCAGAGCAAAUGAUUCUACCUUCAAACUACAAUUUUAUCAAACUUUUAAAACCAAAUAAAUAAAUCAGUCAUACAAAGAGUUCAUAGA